UCCAAUUUUAGCAAUCCGACGAUGAAUCAUGCCGAGGAUAAGAUUAAUUGGAGAUAAUGGUAAAGAAUGGAGAAAGAAUGAGGUAGCCGGAGGAAGAAGAAGACUGUAAGAGGGACUAGAGAAGAAUGGGGGAAGAAGAAGAGAGGAGUUGGAGGAAUCAAUAAUUACUUGACAAAUAUGCAAAAUGCUAAUUUUUGGGAAUUAAAAUGCCAAAAAAGAAAUAUUAUAGAGGACUGUUUGUGGGUCGCUAUCUCUGCAGGUUGGGCUAUUCAGUGGAUCCAGGCCCGAACACUUGCCUCCAAUGGAAGAACCAAGAUGUUCAAACUAGUGGCUCAGAUUCUCCAACAAAUUGAUCCUUUAUACCUCCUAGUUCACUCGGUCACCUUGUGACUCGUCAGUCUAAAUCUUUUUCUGUUCCUCGUCAACCCUAAUAUCCUUCUCCAUCGCCUCUCUACUGCUACUAGCAUUGUUGCACAAAUCUCUCUAUGAACUAUCUGGUCAUGUUAAUUCAUUCUCGGGUUUGUGAUGCAUUAACAAUGUGCUUCUACCUUUGCUUCGCCUUAAUAUUGAUAUCUGUUAGUUAAUCUGACCCAAUUUUGAUAUAUAAAAUAAAAUGGAUAACUACCCUGAUAUGUUUCCUUACAAUAAAAAUUUCGCAUUAAAUGCUUCUAAUUUGCUUUCCUCCAAUAACUCAAUACUAUUUGUAACAAAAAAACAUUCAUAUAUAUUUGUUUUCUUUUUUUAUAACAAAGAAAGAAAUAAAAAUAUUCAUCUUACAUGUGUGUAUAUAUAAUAAAUGCACUUAUGAAGCAUACAUAUAGUGUUCAAAAUACGAAAACAUUCAUUUUAUAUGUUCAAUUCACACUUUUUUUUUGAGAGAGAGAAAGGUAGCAUGCUAUCCUCUUUACCCAUUUUAUUUAGAAAUUAAUUUAAUUGGAAAUGUGAUUCAAAUAUGCGACCUAUUUAAUUCACACAAACAAUAUUUAUUUUAGCUAAUGUCUUAAUUACUUUUCUAUGGAAAAAGUGUAAAAAGUUUGUUGUGUUGUUGGUGCUAAUCAUUAAUUUUCUUCGCCUUUUUCAUACUCUUAUAUCUUUUAGAUGUGCCGGAAUAUUAAAACCAAAAAUUUUAACUAGCUUAAUCAGAAGUGGUGACAACAUUAAAGAUCCUAAUUAAUCAAAGAUCUUUAUUGCUUUAAGAAACAUAAUUCUUGCCUCGUGACGGGAGGUCAAGUUGGACUGAGUCACGUUUGAAAUGACGGGAGACUGAGUUGAAUCGAGUCUUAUACGAAUAGCAAGAGGCUAGGUUGUACCAGUCUUGAGCUGUUAGAGAAUGCAGUUAAUUCACUUAAAGUAUACAGACUACUGUUCAUAAGUCUUGAUUGUGAGACCUACCGUAACUUGUUCGAGACACUACAGUAAGAUAUGUGUUUAAGUUUUGUAGGUGAAACAUGUUGUAGGGGGGAAGAUAUAAUACACUGGAUCUUUGUAAAUAGGCAAAUUUGCAGUAUUGGGGUAUUUGGCCUUGCUUUUAAAAAGCACUUUUUGGCUGAAAAGCGAUUUUCGGCUCAAUAGAGCAUCUGGCAACUUAUUUUUAAAAUCUGAUUCUGCUUUUUAGAAUCAGAAAACUGAUUUUGAAGGCCUUAGAAUCAGAAGCAGAAAAAAGCUGCUUCUUGAAAUCUGAUUCUAAUUUUGGAUUUAAACUUCAAAUUUUUAUUUUAAUUUUAAUUUCAAUAUUUAAAUUUAAAUUUAAUUUUAAAUUUUAAUUUUCAGAUUCAUUUUAAACUUUUUAAAAUUUAAAAGCUACGCCUGCCGAGCAAGAUGGAGGAAGGCCGUGGAACUGAAACCACCUCUCUUGCCCUUACUUCUCUUUCAACGUCUAUUAGAGUACCAUACCUCUUCAGUCUUAUAUCUAUUAAAUUACAUAUAGUGAUCACAGAAAAGUUCGACCUGUUUGUUGUUAGGAAUAUCUCGAGUCCCGAUAAGGGAUGGAAUAAUUUUAACUUUUAAAUUUUAAAAUUUGAAAAUAGAUUUCAAACUUCAAAUUUUAAAUUUUAAUUUUAAAUUUUAAUUUUAAAUUUCAAAUCUAAAAUUUUAGAUUUUAAAAUUUAAAAUUUCAAAUUUCAAUGACAAUUUAGAUUUUAAAAUUGAAAUGUAAAAAUUUAAAAUUUUUAAAUUAUAAAUUAUAAAUUAUAAUUUUCAAAUGAUAAAUUUCAAAUUUUUAAAAUUUAAAAUUUAAAAUUUUAAUUAUUAAAAUUUUUAAUUUUUAAUUUUAAAUAUUCAAAUUUUUAAUUUUAAAUAAUCAAAUUUUUAAUUUUAAAUUUUAAAUAUUCAAAUUUUAAAUUUUGAAUUUUAAAUUUCAUAAUUAUUUUAAAUUUUAAUUUUUAAAUUUAAAGUUUAAAUAUAUUUUUAAAUAUUAAUAUUUAAUAUAUUAUAUUUUAUAAUUAUUUAUAUUUUUAAAUUUAAAUUUUAAAUUUUAAAUUUUAAAUUCUAAAUUUAAAUUUUGAAAUUUUAAUUUUAAUUUAUAUUUUUAUAUAUUAAAAUUUUAUAUUUUAAAAUUCAUAAUUAUAUAUAUUUU
rnacentral:lncRNA from 1 species